GACGUGGGGCGCGAGCGUUGUCCGGAUUUAUUGGGCGUAAAGAGCUCGUAGGCGGCUUGUCGCGUCGACUGUGAAAACCCGAGGCUCAACUUCGGGCUUGCAGUCGAUACGGGCAGGCUAGAGUUCGGUAGGGGAGACUGGAAUUCCUGGUGUAGCGGUGAAAUGCGCAGAUAUCAGGAGGAACACCGAUGGCGAAGGCAGGUCUCUGGGCCGAUACUGACGCUGAGGAGCGAAAGCGUGGGGAG
rnacentral:rRNA from 1 species